rnacentral:rRNA from 1 species
CCUACGGGAGGCAGCAGUGGGGAAUAUUGCACAAUGGGGGAAACCCUGAUGCAGCGACGCCGCGUGAGUGAAGAAGUAUUUCGGUAUGUAAAGCUCUAUCAGCAGGGAAGAAGCAAGACGGUACCUGACUAAGAAGCCCCGGCUAACUACGUGCCAGCAGCAGCGGUAAUACGUAGGGGGCAAGCGUUAUCCGGAUUUACUGGGGUGAAAGGGAGCGUAGACGGUAUGGCAAGUCUGAAGUGAACGCCUAGGGCUUAACCCUGGGACUGCUUUGGAAAAUGGUAGACUAGAGUGCUGGAGAGGUCAGUGGAAUUCCUAGUGUAGCGGUGAAAUGCGUAGAUAUUAGGAGGAACACCAGUGGCGAAGGCGGCUUACUGGACAGUAACUGACGUUGAGGCUCGAAAGCGUGGGGAGCAAACAGGAUUAGAUACCCUUGUAGUC